GAUUAACGCUGGCGGUAUGCCUAACACAUGCAAGUCGAGCGGACCUUCGGGUCAGCGGCGAACGGGUGAGUAAUACAUUGGUACUUGCCUCAGAGUAGGACAUAGCCUGCCGAAAGGUGGGGUAAUUUCCUAUAGUCUAAGUAAUUAGUAAAGCAGCAAUGCGCUCUGAGAGAGACCUUUGUCCUAUCAGCUUGUUGGCGGGGUAAAAGCCCACCAAGGCGACGACGGGUAGCUGGAUCGAGAGGUUGACCAGCCACACUGGGACUGAGACACGGCCCAGACUCCUACGGGAGGCAGCAGUGAGGAAUUUUCCACAAUGGGCGAGAGCCUGAUGGAGCAAUACCGCGUGAAGGAUGACGGCCCUCGGGUUGUAAACUGCUUUUGUACGGAACGAAACGGUCUGGGUUAAUACCCUGGGCUAAUGACGGUACCGUAAGAAUAAGCACCGGCUAACUACGUGCCAGCCGCCGCGGUAA
rnacentral:rRNA from 1 species